GAUGAACGCUGGCGGCGUGCCUAAUACAUGCAAGUCGAGCGAACAGACGAGGAGCUUGCUCCUCUGACGUUAGCGGCGGACGGGUGAGUAACACGUGGAUAACCUACCUAUAAGACUGGGAUAACUUCGGGAAACCGGAGCUAAUACCGGAUAAUAUAUUGAACCGCAUGGUUCAAUAGUGAAAGACGGUUUUGCUGUCACUUAUAGAUGGAUCCGCGCCGCAUUAGCUAGUUGGUAAGGUAACGGCUUACCAAGGCAACGAUGCGUAGCCGACCUGAGAGGGUGAUCGGCCACACUGAAACUGAGACGCGGUCCAGACUCCUACGGGAGGCAGCAGUAGGGAAUCUUCCGCAAUGGGCGAAAGCCUGACGGAGCAACGCCGCGUGAGUGAUGAAGGUCUUCGGAUCGUAAAACUCUGUUAUUAGGGAAGAACAAAUGUGUAAGUAACUAUGCACGUCUUGACGGUACCUAAUCAGAAAGCCACGGCUAACUACGUG
rnacentral:rRNA from 1 species